rnacentral:rRNA from 1 species
UACGAAGGGGGCUAGCGUUGUUCGGAAUUACUGGGCGUAAAGGGCGCGUAGGCGGUACUUCAAGUCAGGCGUGAAAGCCCCGGGCUCAACCUGGGAACCGCGCUUGAGACUGUAGAACUAGAGUUCGGGAGAGGAUGGUGGAAUUCCCAGUGUAGAGGUGAAAUUCGUAGAUAUUGGGAAGAACACCGAUGGCGAAGGCAGCCAUCUGGACCGACACUGACGCUGAGGCGCGAAAGCGUGGGGAGCAAACAGG